rnacentral:rRNA from 1 species
UACGUAGGGUGCGGGCGUUGCCCGGAUUUAUUGGGCGUAAAGGGCGCGUAGGCGGCCACGCACGUCCGUUGUGAAAUCGCCCGGCUCAACUGGGCGGGGUCAGCGGAUACGGCGCGGCUGGAGCAAGCUAGGGGGCAAUGGAAUUCCCAGUGUAGAGGUGAAAUUCGUAGAUAUUGGGAAGAACACCGGUGGCGAAGGCGGCUCACUGGCUCGUAUCUGACACUCAAGCGCGACAGCGUGGGGAUCAAACAGGGA